GCCUUUGUAGCAAAGUGGUAGUGCGUUUGCUUCGUAAGUAAAAGGUCGUGUGUUCGAUCCACACCAAGGGCU